UGCAAGGUGCAUGAUAAAUGUACCAUAAAAGUAGUCAAUAUGACUUGUGCACUAUAUUCUGUAGUCAUAUGACAGCUAUGUGUGACAAACAGACGUAAACACUGAAAUUAUCGCCUCUCUUCAGCGCUUGCAUCUGAUUUUCCAACUCACAUAUUUGUUUUGGCAUCAAUAAUGUAAAACAGGGUGUAAUGCAACAACACAGUGUUUUUGAAUCUGACUCACAAGACUGUAGUCCUUUAGAAGAAGAGAAGAUAUAUUGGUAUGUUCCUCAUGCAAAGUACACUUUUAUUUUGUUUUUUGGUCUUUUUGAAGCAUUGUAAAGAUUUUUUUAUAAUGCUUUUGUGUUAAUACAUGUUUGGAACAACAUGAGGAAGAGUAAAUGUUAAUGUUAUUCCUAUUAUUCACACUGUAGGACUUGGAGAUCUGACCUGAGGCGAGGACUGGUCUAAAAUUGAAAGGCAUUUUAAAGGAAGACAUGAGGAGAGAUGUGAAUGAGGUGAAGAUAAGUGGCCCUGUUCAAGAGGGUCUACCUUAUACACUUGAGUUUGUGCUCUCAAUCGCUGAAGACUCGGAUCAAUAGCACUGCGGAAGCGAGAGAGGAAGAACACCGACAGAAUCAGCAGAACGAGGUUAAACUCGCCUGGAGAGAGGCGAAAAACGUUAACGAUUAAAUGAGGUGCGAGAAGAUCUCAUUCAUCUCAAUGCCAGGGGCUCGGUUGGUGCAUGAAACCCUGGAAACAUGCAACACAGAUGCAGGAUCUUUGGUCACAGACACUCAGAGAGCAUGUACCACCAGGGGCCUAAAGGUUUUUUUUUUUUCUCAAAUGGACGUUGAGACGUGAUUGAGAUCUCCAUCAAGUGGUUCAAGGUACAAAAGAGCAUUUUAUGAGCAGUAAACCCUUCAUUAUGUAACCCAGAAUACUUAUUCAGAUUAUUUGUUCACGUUGUUCCUGAAUUAAUAGACAUUUAGCACUACAAACUGCUUCAGUGUAUUUAUAUAUCUUAAACACGCUCUAAAAUGAUUCAUGUUUCUUUAAAUCCUCCUUUUGCUGAUAAUUUGAGACAUCUUUUGCCCGUGGCAGAGCUGAAACUGUGUCUCUCUCAUUGAUAUACGGCACCAGAGCCGAAGCUUUGUUGAGUCGGGUAUUUCCAGAUGGCUCACAAAAGACUCAAUUGACUCGCUCCUCUAAUGUGUUAAAGCGUUUGCUCCCACAUGACAAAUUCGGAGGGGAAAAAACCCAGCCUCUCAGCAUGUAAAAAAACAGUAAAAGAUGAAAUAUCAAACAGAUUUUCUCUUUCACUCUCGAUUUUUG
ensembl:lncRNA